rnacentral:misc_RNA from 1 species
UCACCAUAACCUUGGUUCUGACCCAUGUUAAAUUUAUCACGAGCAAUGUCUCCAGGUCUAUUUCUGCACCAAAACUUUGUUGUAUGAUCAUUGCUACCACUGCAAAGAAGAUAUCCAAUAGGAUGCCAUGCAAUAUCCCACACGCUAUUAUCAUGAGCAUUGGCAACUUCAAUCUGGGGAGUUUCAUGCCCAACAAGCCAAUGGAUAAUGGACCCAUCAAAACUCCCACUAACAAAGUACUCUUCAUGGGAUGGAUGCCAAGCCAAUGCAGUCACAUCUUUACGGUGUCCACGGAAAGAUUCAAGCUCCUUCAUAGCUCUAAUAUCAUAAAGCUUAACGAUUUGAUCCUUUGCAGCAGUUACCACCCAGUUACCAUUUUGAUUCCAUUUGACACAAAGCACCGUGUUUUUGUGGCCAUGAAAUGAGCAAAGCUCUCUCCCAG